UAUGAUUAUUUUUAAAACAUAAGGAAAAUUAUAUCCAAAUUAACACGUGCUUAGAUAAAUAAUAAUGUGUAACUAUACUAGGGUUUUUUUUGGAAAAAUAUUGCGAAAUUUAUAAUAUUAAUAAAUAUUUAAAGAAAUACCUAAAGUGCAGUAUCUAGUCCACUUUUACUCUACGUUGGAUUAUUGACUAAAGGUUUAUUAACAAACACCUGAUAAACUUAAUAAAAAUGAUAAAACUAUAGUGCCAAUAUCAUAAUAUUAUCAAAGCUCCAUACCGCAACUGGUAUAUUGUAUUAGCUGACAUUAAUAACAAUGAAGAGACUCCAACUGGUUCUUAUUUUGGUGAUAAUCGCUAAUGACGCAUUUCAGUCUAAGCUGCCAGCGGGAGGAAAUAUCGAAACAUCGUAUACAACCAAUUCUGCUCCAGAUUACUCUAGUAUUGUAAGGAACAUCUUUAAUAUGUCUAUUAUGACGAUGUUCGUAUGUAUUUUUAUUGUUGUUGGGUUCGCAAUAUUUGUAAAGAUUUAUUAAAAAUAUAUUUAAGUAUACCUUAUUUCUACUUAGUUGGUCUACAUGGGACUGUCGAAUACUACAGUAUAUACAGUACAGCAAGAGUAUUAAAGUAGUAAUACAAUGUGGUUAUAGUUUCUAAAAAUGUAUAGGUACUAGUUGAUACUAAAAUAAAUUAGAUCUGUGUUAUGGCCUCUGCCUUUUCAUUCAUGUCCUCUAGCAUUUUUAAAGAACAAAUACUAAACCACCAGAUUUAUAUUUAUAUACCGUAGCCUACCUACGGUACGUUAUUUUAAUUCUGAUUCAUAUUUGCAUUUAGGUAAAAUAAGAAAUCCAGUUUGUCUGUUAGAUUGCUUUUGGAAAAUAUAAUCUUAAAUACUGCGUAUUUUAAGUUGUUAUUAACCCUUUGCACCUAAUUUUAGUGCGCAAAAAAUAAAAUAAAAUAAUAAUUUAUUAUAAUAGUUUACUGUUAUUACAAUGUAAUCCUAUCCUAGUAUCGGUAUCGGUUUAGUCUGGGAACGAAAUUUCAUUCAAAUCAGCAGUAACGUAACAUAUAUUCAAAUGACUAGGAUUUAGGUACAAACUUUUACAUUAAUAAGGCAAUUUAUUUAUUUUAACUUUAUUUAACUUCAAAUAAAAAAUGAUGAUACAAUGUUUGCAAUAAUAACGGUGGCUGUGCUAUGAUCUACUAAGUAAAAUUUCAACAUUCUUUUUAGGUCAAUCGUAACUCUUAUACUAGUAAGGCUACCCUUAAAUUCUACCACUUCAUUCGUUUAUGGGCCAAUGCGUUUAGAUAUUGCUUAGAAAUCUUGUAAAUAAUAAAGGCCUUAACAGUAACUUUGUUACUAAUAAGUUUAUUCGUUAUUGUUAUGGCGUAUAUGUCACCAUCAACACUGACAUAAUUUUAGGUAUUUCAAAAUAAACAUUCUAUAACCUAUAUCUACUUACAAAUAAAAUAUAAGAAAAUAAUUGACGAUUGAUAACACAAUUAAAAUAUAUUUUUUUUUGUAACAAAACAUUAGCCAAAAUAUCACAUAGCACAAAAUAAAGCUAUAUAAAAUUUGUAUACACAACAGUUCAAUGUAUGGAAGUUACGAGUACAACAUUGCAAAUAACAUAUUCGCAAUUGCAAUAGCAGGACAUAGAAUACUGAUAAAUAAUACAUUUCAAAUCUUCGAUCAGUAACAACAAGACAUAAUUAGCGUUUACAAAACAUCCUCUCAGUAGAGGGCGUUUUUGAUACUGUCAUCAAAAUUUUUCAAUUCUUUGGCGAACUAUUGAAAUAUUUGUUCUUACCAAAACCUAGAGAUUUUUUAAACAUCAUUGCGAUUUUAAGAUGGAUGUAAAUCUUCUUAUUAGUGAUCGAUAUUUGAAUCAGAUUAGUGGACGUCUAUUAAUUACGUUCUUCUCGUCCUACGCUCCAUAUUGGUGAAAUUUAUUACCGAUAAGAGAACCCUUUCCCUCUUAUGUAAAAUUUUUAAUUAGUUGAUAAAUAAACAACUUUGAGAAUAUGAGAUCAUGUUUUUUGUAGUCAUAUCUUUAUAAUGCCACUAUUUUUAAUUAUAAUUAAUGACAUAAUAUGGAAACAUUAAAUACUAAUUAAAUAAUUUGCUUGCUUAGCUAUUUUAUUAGCUGAAUACGGAUCUAUUUACUUUUCAAAUAAGAACAUUGUGUCACCUAUAAUAAAACAAAUAAUGUAUUCUAUUCUGUUAAACUUAUUUGAUAUGUUGAUGUAUUGUGCUUAUUUCAGUGAAAUAAAAGGAAAACAAAAGUUGA